GAUGAUAUGUAUCAUAUACAUCUUGAGAAAUCAAGACAAGUAUAUAAAGAAACUAUUAUGGAUGGUUAGCUAUAUAUUUCAAGAUAUUGAUCUAGAAAAAUAUAAACUAGAAAUCAUAGAGAAAUCUAAUUAUAAGACAAAGUGAAUUGAAAUAUCUUAGUAACUUUAGUAAAAGAAAUCAAACGAGAUUGUUAUUUGGUGUCUUCUGAAUAGCAAAAGCCUUAAUAAAUAAUUACUAAAAUUAAUGAUAGUAAUUAUUUAUAGUAAAUAUAUUAAAUGAUAUAUUUAAGUAUAACGGAAAAAAAUCUGUUGAAAAAUAGGGGAACCUUCCUCUAAGGCUAAAAAAAAUAUAUAAGCGAUAGAGUAACAGUACCGUGAGGGAAAUACCCUGAAAUAGUAGUUUUAUAAGCAGCUCAAGUUAAAAUUUAAAUAAAUAAUAAGAGCGUACCUUUUGCAUAAUGGGUCAGCAAGUUAAUUUUAGAUGCAAGUAACAUCUCUUUUAUAAGCAUUUACACAUUUAGAAUAUUAUCAUUUACAAUAGAUGAUAACAAUAUAGAUAUGUAAAUUUAUUAAUAAAAUUAGGAGAUAGAUACGUAGAUAAACCAAUUAUGAAAAAAUGAAUUAGUAUCUAGAAUUAGACCCGAAGGCUAGUGAUCUUACCAUGGUCAGGGUUAUAAAAGCCCGAACGGGUUAUCGUUGUAAAGAUAUCCGAUGAACUGUGGUAAGUUAGUGAAAGACAAAACUGACUAGUAUAGCUGGUUUUCCGCGAAACCUAUGUAAGUAGGUAAUUUAAUUAACAUCUUAGCAGGUACAGAACUGUGAUCUCGGACAAUAUUUAAUAUAUUUGUCAACAUCGGGGGGUUGUAGUGACUUUACCGGAGAGUAUUUGCACUCGGAAGGGCAAAGAUGAAUGUUAAAUAAUCGGACAUAGUGCGAUAAGGUUGUAUGUCUAAAGGGAAACAGCCCAGAACAAGAGUUAAGGUUCCAAAAUUAUUGUUAAGUGAAAUUAAGGAUGUUUUUUUUUAAAACAAUCAGGAAAUAGGCUUAGAAGCGGCCAUUUUUUGAAGACCUCGUAACAGAGCACUGAUUAAUAAAUUAGGAAAAAACGCCGAAAAUUUAACGGAUCUAAAUAAUAUACCGAAACCUUGUACACAAAUAAAAAUUAAAGCGUUAUAGCUUAAUAUUUUGUGGGGUAGCGGAACAUUGGAUUAAACAAAAUAUUAAUAUUUUUCUUAAAAUAUUAAAGAUCUAGCAUCUGUUAAAUCCAAGAGAGAAUGCUGACAUGAGUAACGAAAAAGGCUUUUAGCCUCGCCUGAAGCUUAUGGUUUCAUCUAAAAUCGGUGUCUAAAAAAAUUAAUCAAAAGAUAAUUUUGAUGACGUUUUGUAUAAGAUAAUACCAAAACCUUUAAUAAGUAAUAAAGGUUCUGGAAAAGUUUAUUUUAUUAUUUGAAGUGAAAAAUAUUUAAUACUCAUACUUAUUGGUAUAAAAUUGUAAAUUAUAAUAUAUAAUACAUACUUAUUAUUAUAUUGUGAUUUACAAAUAUAAUAGAAUGAGUAAAAUAAAUAUAUUUUAACCAAAUAAUAGUCUUUAUCUAUAAUUAUAAUAAUAUAAUAUAAUAAUUAUUAAUAAUUAAUUACCAUUAGAUUAUUAAUAUGUAUUUAUAGGCUAUAUUUGAAUUGUAUAUCAAGAUUCUUAUAUAGAUAUAUCUAUAUCUAUUAAACGUUAUUAGAAAUAAUAUUAUAAUAUAUAGAAAAGAUAACAUUAUACUGGAAAAUAAUAAAUAACCGUACCUAGAAACUAACUCAAGUAAGCAAGUAGAGAAUACAAAGGCGUUGAGAGAACAAUCAUUAAGGAACUCGGCAAAU
rnacentral:rRNA from 1 species